rnacentral:rRNA from 1 species
AUAAAGUGGCGAACGGCUGAGUAACACGUGGGCAACCUGCCCUUUGCACUGGGAUAGCCUCGGGAAACCGAGGUUAAUACCGGAUACUCCAUAUUUGUCGCAUGGCGAAUAUGGAAAGCUCCGGCGGCAAAGGAUGGGCCCGCGGCCUGUUAGCUAGUUGGUGGGGUAGUGGCCUACCAAGGCAAUGAUGGGUAGCCGGGUUGAGAGACCGACCGGCCAGAUUGGGACUGAGACACGGCCCAGACUCCUACGGGAGGCAGCAGUU